UAGGGAAUCUUCCGCAAUGGACGAAAGUCUGACGGAGCAACGCCGCGUGAGUGAAGAAGGAUUUCGGUUCGUAAAACUCUGUUGUUAGGGAAGAAAAAAUGUAUAGUAACUAUAUACAAAAGAGACGGUACCUAACCAGAAAGCCACGGCUAACUACGUGCCAGCAGCCGCGGUAAUACGUAGGUGGCAAGCGUUGUCCGGAAUUAUUGGGCGUAAAGCGCGCGCAGGUGGUUUAGAAAGUCUGAUGUGAAAGCCCACGGCUCAACCGUGGAGGAUCAUUGGAAACUAAUAAACUUGAGAGCAGGAGAAAAAAGAGGAAUUCCUAGUGUGGCGGUGAGAUACGUAGAGAUAAGACAGAACACCCGUGGCGAAGGCGACUUUUUCGCAUGCAACUGACACUGAGGGGCGAAAGCGUGGGGAGCAAACAGA
rnacentral:rRNA from 1 species